rnacentral:rRNA from 1 species
GUGAAUCAUCGAGUCUUUGAACGCACCUUGCACUCUUUGGUAUUCCGAAGAGUAUGUCUGUUUGAGUGUCAUGAAACUCUCAACCCCCUCAUUUUGUAAUGAAAUGAGUCGUGGGCUUGGAUUAUGGCUGUAUGUCGGCUUCAUUGCCGGCUCAGCUGAAAUACUCGAGUAACCCAGUUUGAAAAACUGACGGCUUGACUCGGCGUAAUAAUUAUUAUCGCUGAGGACGUCUAACCUUCGAAUAGUUAGUGGUGCUUCUAAUGCAAAUCAUCUUAAGAUUUAGACCUCAAAUCAGUCAGGAUUACCCGCUGAACUUAA